CCUACGGGAGGCAGCAGCAAGGAAUUUUCCGCAAUGGGCGAAAGCCUGACGGAGCAACGCCGCGUGGGGGAUGAAGGCCUUCGGGUUGUAAACUCCUUUUGCGAGGGAAGAAGAUCUGACGGUACCUCGCGAAUAAGCCACGGCUAGCUACGUGCCAGCAGCCGCGGUAAUACGUAGGUGGCAAGCGUUGUCCGGAUUUACUGGGCGUAAAGCGCGCGCAGGCGGAUUGGUCAGUCUAGGGUGAAAUCUCCUGGCUUAACUAGGAGAGGUCCCUGGAUACUACCAGUCUUGAGGGGCUCAGAGGAGAGUGGAAUUCCCGGUGUAGUGGUGGAAUGCGUAGAUAUCGGGAGGAACACCAGUGGCGAAAGCGACUCUCUGGGGGCUACCUGACGCUGAGGCGCGAAAGCGUGGGGAGCAAACCGGAUUAGAUACCCGGGUAGUCCACGCCGUAAACGAUGAGCACUAGCUGUCGGGGGUAUCGACCCCCUCGGUAGCGCAGCUAACGCGAUAAGUGCUCCGCCUGGGGACUACGGCCGCAAGGCUAAACGUCAAAGGAAUUGACGGCUGAGAGUUGCGAGCGACGACGAGGAGAG
rnacentral:rRNA from 1 species